rnacentral:rRNA from 1 species
UGGGGAAUAUUGCACAAUGGGCGAAAGCCUGAUGCAGCAACGCCGCGUGAGUGAUGAAGGCCUUCGGGUUGUAAAGCUCUGUCUUUUGGGACGAUAAUGACGGUACCAAAGGAGGAAGCCACGGCUAACUACGUGCCAGCAGCCGCGGUAAUACGUAGGUGGCAAGCGUUGUCCGGAUUUACUGGGCGUAAAGGAUGCGUAGGCGGAUUUUUAAGUGAGAUGUGAAAACCCUAAGCUUAACUUGGGGACUGCAUUUCAUACUGGAAAUCUAGAGUGCGGGAGAGGAGAAUGGAAUUCCUAGUGUAGCGGUGAGAUGCGUAGAGAUUAGGAAGAACACCAGUGGCGGAGGCGAUUCUCUGGACCGUAACUGACGCUGAGGCAUGAAAGCGUGGGUAGCAAACAGGAUUAGAUACCCUGGUAGUCCACGCCGUAAACGAUGAGUACUAGGUGUAGGAGGUAUCGACCCCUUCUGUGCCGCAGUUAACACAAUAAGUACUCCGCCUGGGAAGUACGAUCGCAAGAUUAAAACUCAAAGGAAUUGACGGGGUCAUAGCUGUUUCCU